rnacentral:ncRNA from 1 species
AGUAGGCAGAACGGUGGCUGAGAAUAAACCCGUUGAACCUGUCUGGGUAAUGCCAGCGAAGGGAGUUGUAUGAAUUGGCUU